rnacentral:rRNA from 1 species
UACAGAGGGGCAAGCGUUAUUCGGAAUUAUUGGGCGUAAAGGGCGCGUAGGCGGCCUGGCAAGUGGAAGGUGAAAUCCCUCGGCUUAACCGAGGAACUGCCCUCCAAACUGCUUGGCUUGAGUCCGGGAGAGGUGAGUGGAAUUCCCAGUGUAGCGGUGAAAUGCGUAGAUAUUGGGAGGAACACCAGUGGCGAAGGCGGCUCACUGGACCGGAACUGACGCUGAGGCGCGAAAGCGUGGGAGCAACGGG